UAUUAUUAUUAUUAUUAGGUCUUUCCACUUUUCUGUGGAAAGACCUAUUGUAUUUGUUCUGAUUAUUAUUAUUAGGUCUUUCCACUUUUCUGUGGAAAGACCUAUUGUAUUUGUUCUGAUUAUUAUUAUUAUUUUUUUUUUUUUUUUUUUCUUCCGCCAAAUUUUGUUCUUGCGAUAAAUGUUUGUUUCGCAAUAUGUCGCUUAGAUAUUUCUCAUAUUGUAUCGUAUAGUUUAUGCGCUUUUAAAUUUCACCCUGCUAAGCCGAACCAUUUUCUUUGUAAGAGUUAUCUCCCUAUUCACUGUUUAUCAUCUGUGUGCAUCUCCUUCGUAACAAAAAAAGAUAUCGACAAAAUUCUUUUUACAAAUUGUUCGUUACAUCCUCAGGAAUUUUUGGCUAAUUUGGAUCAAAGCGAUUUGAUGAAAUUUUAUAGGAGUUAUCUACCUUUAUCAAAUAAAUUUGUCGUUAUGUUUUUGUUACUCAUAAACUGUAAGCCGUAUAAACCUAUAGUCUUUUUAUUUAAGGUCCUUGGAUCCUAACUUCGAAAAUGAGGUCAAGGUCAAAGGUCAAGGUCAUGUUCUGAAUUUUGUCUUUUGCUUGUUUUUGCAUUUUCUCCGAUAUUUUUAAUGUUAUAUAUUAAAGAACAAGUGCAAAAUGUUUGUUAUAUUGUGAUGAAGAUAUGAUACAUUUGGUCUGAGACAAUCCAGCGACAUCUUAUUGGAGUUAUUGCCCCUGAAAUGUUUUAUUCUAAGGUAAAUGGAUUAUUACUUCAUAUUGGUACAUGAUAAAGCCAUAAGAUCUUUUGCAAAAUGUUGGGUGAUAUAUGACCUUGAAAAAUGUCAACCGGAAGUGACCUUGAGUGAACCGGAAGUAGUCAUUUUUGCACUUAUUUCAUGUAGAAGUACAUAGAAACCAUAUUUUUUUUGAAUGUCAUAAAUUAAUCUAUCAUUUGAGACCGGGAGUGAUAUUUUAUAAACCGGAAGUAGCAUAUUAUCUCAUUUUUUACAGGCAAAAGUAUAUAUAAACCAUAUAUUUUGGAAUCAGUGUAAAUAAAGCUAUCAUAUGAGACCGAAAGUGACAUUUUCUAAACCGGAAGUAGCCAAUUAUCUCCCGUUUUACAGGCAAAAGUAUAUAUAAACCAUAUAUUUUUGGAAUCAAUGUAAAUAAAUCUAUCAUAUGAGACCAGAAGUGACAUUUUCCAAACCGGAAGUAGCCAAUUAUCUCCCUUUUUACAGGCAAAAGUAUAUAUAAACCAUAUAUUUUUGGAAUCAGUUUAAACAAAGCUAUCAUAUGAGACCGGAAGUGACAUUUUCUAAACCGGAUGUUAACAAUUAUCUCCCUUAUUUCAGGCAAAAGUCUAUAGAAACCAUGUUUAUUGAAUCAGUAUGAAGAAACCUAUGAUUGGACGCCAAUAGUAGCUUUGAGUAAACCAGAAUUAUCUUCUCAUUAAUUAUUUAGAAAAUUGAUGUGGAAAGACCUUCAAUUGUUCUUUGAACAAUUGGUUUUUAAUUAUUAUUAUUAUUAUUUUUUUUUUUUUUUUUUUUCCCCCAACUUUUGAAAUUUUUGUUUCGCAAUAUGUCGCUUAGAUAUUUCUCAUAUUGUAUCGUAUAGUUUAUGCGCUUUUAAAUUUCACCCUGCUAAGCCGAACAAUUAUCUUUGUAAGAGUUAUCUCCCUAUUCACUGUUUAUCAAGUGUGUGCAUCUCCUUCGUAACAAAAAAAGAUAUCGACAAAAUUCUUUUUCUAAAUUGUUCGUUACAUCCUCAGGAAUUUUUGGCUAAUUUGGAUCGAAGCGAUUCGAUGAAAUUUUAUAGGAGUUAUCUAACUUUCUGAAAUAAAUUUGUCGUUAUGUUUUUGUUACUCAUAAACUGUAAGCCGUAUAAACCUAUAGUCUUUUUAUUUAAGGUCCUUGGAUCCUAACUUCGAAAAUGAGGUCAAGGUCAAAGGUCAAGGUCAUGUUCUGAAUUUUGUCUUUUGCUUGUUUUUGCAUUUUCUCCGAUAUUUUUAAUGUUAUAUAUUAAAGAACAAGUGCAAAA